ensembl:processed_transcript Gm15283 predicted gene 15283
GGGUUGUCCGCGGGCCAGAGACGGUCAGGCUCGCUCUACCGCUCUCAGGCACCUGCCUUUCUCUGCGUUCCGGAAUGCGGCCAAGACCGAAUAAAGGAAAUUACAUAGUAAGCGGAGAUCGGGUGUCUGAGCAGCGCCUUGGAUCAAAUCCACUCAUGACAGGAACUUCUUGCAUCCAUAACCCCUCAGAAUGAAGAUAUGGAAAAAACUGCCUAAUUAUGAAAAUCUUACAUGACAUUUCUAAUAUCUAGGGCCAGCAGGUAAAGGCACCUGCUGCCAAACCUGACUAGUACAGGCAAGUGGAGAGAAAGAAUUCAAGAGAUGCAGGCAAGAGGAUCAGAUAAAUGAAGAUUUUGUAUACUGAGACUCAGGACGUUUUGACUCAACCACAUAUCAACCAGUAUUUCUCAAACUGAGGAAUGUUGAGUAUUAAAGGACAUUGAGAAAUCAAGAUAGAAAUACCAGACAGUUUCCUGGCAGACUGAUUUCAUGUAUGUUGGGGGAAGCAAGAGGAAACAGACUAAAGUUUAGAGAACUACAUAGAAAUACUACAAGAAGCAACUGAUGUAUUUCUAACAAGAGAAGGGCACAAUCUGAUCCUCACCUUGGGAAGCCCCCUUUGGAUACAGUGGACGUACAAGUAAAAAGUAAGAAAAUUUCAUAUCGAGGCUGUGUCGACUGAGAAAUGUCUUGCUGUCUAAAGGAAUUUCAAUAUUUGACGGAUGAGGAAUGGGUUCACAAAUCAGCACCAAGCACGUCAUGGGUGGUUUCUUGUACCCACACUGAGCAUGUCAGUAGGUCUGACAGCUCCAUCCAGGGAGAGUGUGUGUAAGACAGCAGUGACUCCCUGGACUGUGGGAGGAGAGUCCACACUUCACAGGAUUAAUUAUUCAUCUGUGCUGAUUUUGCUUGCAUGUCUAUGGGAGUGUGUCAGAUCUUGGAGUAACAGACCAUUGUGAGCUGCCAUGAGGAUGUGAAUUUGAAGUGGGGUCCCCCCUCCCGAAGAACAGUCAGUGGCCCUAACCACUGAGCCAUCUCUUCAGCCCUUCUCUUACUUCUCUUUUUGAGACAGGGUCUCACUCUGUAGCCUUGCCUGGCUUGAAACUAGUUACAUAAACCAGGCUGGCCUGGAAAUCAAGAGAUCUGCCUAUAUCUGCCUCCUAAGUGCUAGGAUUAAAGGAACUCACCGGCAUCCAGAAGUUUUCUCACACGUAAAUAACUGAUGGUGAGCCUCAUAACAGAAGCUUUAUCAAGAUGUGAGCUCACAUUGUGGGGAAGUGGCAACUGAUGAGCAAGCUCAUAAAAAACUUCAGACUCUUUGCUUCGCCGAGAUCUUGCUGCAUCUCUAGACUUUUCUUUUCGACGUUCAGAACUCAUCCUACUUAACAAAAAAAAAAAAAAGAGAGACAAGAAUGUACAUGUUAGUUUGUCUUAACUCGAAUAAAAUUAAUUUUG